UUUAACAAGGGCAGGGCAGGGAUACUAGCUGUGAGACACUUCUGCUCCGGGAAAGUUCCAAGAGAACCUGCUUCAGGUGGUCUAAAUGAAAUAGAGUCCAAGUCCUGUGCUUAGGUAGUAUUUAGCUGCUGGUUUAUAGUUAUGGAUGACCUUAUUUCAUUGGCUUCAAGAGUGCAUUUCAUAAAAUUCCUCACUUAACCGAUUCAAGUUUUUUUGUUUUGUUUUGUUUCGAGACGGAGUCUUGCUCUGUCGCCCAGGCUGGAGUGCAGUGGCACAAUCUCGGUUCACUGUAAGCUCUGCCUCCCGGGUUCCCGCCAUUCUCCUGCCUUAGCCUCCCGAGUAGCUGGGACUACAGGCACCCGCCACCAUGCCGGGCUAAUUUUUUGUAUUUUUAGUAGAGACAGGGUUUCACCAUGUUAGCCAGGAUGGUCUCAAUCUCCUGUCCUUGUGAUCCGCCCGCCUCGGGCUCCCAAAGUGCUGGGAUUACAGGCGUGAGCCACCGUGCCCGGCCUGAUUCAAGUUUGAAUAUAUCCGUGGAGCACUGUGUGCUCACGGUGGGUGAGGGUAGAGGUGAGAAGACCCAACAACUCUCUGGAUAUCCACAUGUGUUAACCAGCCAGGCAUUUACAUUGUUUCCCUAACUUGGCUUUAGUUCGCCUCAGCUUUUUGAGUGUUGGUCACUGAUCGUGGUUAUGGAGGAGGUGUCUUCAAAAGCAUCAAGGAAAAAAUAUCAAAUAUCAAAAUUUGCCAUGGUGCCCAGCAUGGUUCAAGAUCACAAGUGUCAAGCACAUCUGGUAAGGAAGAUAAUAAUAAUUCAAGGGCAAAUGAGUUGCCCCGUGGACAAUGGAUUACAAUAUGCUACAAUGGAUUUGUUUGGACCAUUUAUCUUUUCUUUUGAAUUGACCUAACUGUACAUUUGUAGGAGAUAAGCAGGAAAUCAGAAGCACUCCUAGGGAUUGGCACUGGUCUAAAUGACAGCUCUAAGGAGAAGCUUAGAUACCAGAUUCAUCUUCCAUCCAGGCAGACGCUCCCCAGGGAUAAAACUGCAAGGCUAAAUGUGAAACUCAAAAUUUGAAGCAAAAGGCUCUCCUCUUCUGCACUUCUUUUCUUCCUAAAUUGAGCAGUAAUACUAGAAACAGAGUCAACUGAACCUUAACAGCUCCUCUGGGGUACCAGGCAUCAUUCUAAUGAACUCGUUUCAUCCUUACAGAGGCACAGAUAAGGGCAGGAAUCUUCUGUUCCAUAUGCAACAUCUUCUGGCAGCCUUGUCCUUCUUCUGUCCUUGUCGACUACAAUAACAAACAGCUGUUGCCAAGGCAUUGCUGUUGACAUGUUACCUUUGAAACCUCCCUCCUGUUAUGGAAUAAGCCUCUUCUAGAUCAUGGAUCAUUAUCAUCUAGUCUGACAAGCAGCCUUGUUGCCACGGAGACCCGAAGGGAUCAGGUGUGGCAUUUGCCUGCAUCAUCACCCCCUCCAGGGGAACAACAAGGACUCUUCUGUGCGUCAUGCGUGGCUGUCCUGGGGCUGGCUGCCACCAGACUUUCCUGCGGGUAAAACCUAAACAAAUGAUCAGCUGCAGAUAAUAUCAAGACCUCUGUUUGAUAUGUUAAUAGUGACAGCCGUAUUUCCACAAUUAACAAUGAGGUGGGAAGAAAACACUGUAGUCACCAGGCUUGGGAGGAGAGGGUUUGUAUUCACAUAAACACAACCUCACCUCACGGCUUGCCACCACAAAGGGCUCUGUUCACUGUUUUGUUCUCAAAGAUCAUCCCUGUGCUCAUCCUCUGAUCUUCAAUUUCUACAUAACUUUCUCAGUUUAUAUGCCCUGUGGCAAGUGCAGCAAGCACUGUUUCCUGUUUCUAAACUUGUAGAAAAUCAUCCAUACAUCUUACAGUUGUCAGUUUUAACCAGAUAACAGUGGCACUUUGUUGCAGCUUUUUUAUCUUUAGCUUAGGUUAACAGGACCCUGGAAGUAAAGUUGUUGAUUUAUUCAAUAGAGUAUUCUCAAUUAAUUUGGCUAGAUUUCUACAUGAUUCAAAAUCCAAAAAAGUAGAAAUGCAUGCUUACAUGUCUAAGGCCUGAAAAAUCAGUGGUGACAUCCCAAAAUAAAUGAAGAUUUUAAAACAAUAAA